rnacentral:rRNA from 1 species
UACGGGGGGGGUAAGCGUUGUUCGGAAUUACUGGGCGUAAAGGGCUCGUAGGCGGCCAACUAAGUCAGACGUGAAAUCCCUCAGCUUAACUGGGGAACUGCGUCUGAUACUGGAUGGCUUGGAUUCGGGAGAGGAAUGCGGAAUUCCAGGUGUAGCGGUGAAAUGCGUAGAUAUCUGGAGGAACACCGGUGGCGAAGACGGCAUUCUGGACCGACAUUGACGCUGAGGAGCGAAAGCCAGGGGAGCAAACGGG